rnacentral:rRNA from 1 species
CGAACGCUGGCGGCAGGCCUAACACAUGCAAGUCGAAACGGACCCUUCGGGGUUAGUGGCGGACGGGUGAGUAACACGUGGGAACGUGCCUUUAGGUUCGGAAUAGCUCCUGGAAACGGGUGGUAAUGCCGAAUGUGCCCUUCGGGGAAAGAUUUAUCGCCUUUAGAGCGGCCCGCGUCUGAUUAGCUAGUUGGUGGGGUAAUGGCCCACCAAGGCUACGAUCAGUAGCUGGUCUGAGAGGAUGACCAGCCACAUUGGGACUGAGACACGGCCCAAACUCCUACGGGAGGCAGCAGUGGGGAAUCUUGCGCAAUGGGCGAAAGCCCGACGCAGCCAUGCCGCGUGUAUGAUGAAGGUCUUAGGAUUGUAAAAAUACUUUCACCGGUGAAGAUAAUGACUGUAGCCGGAGAAGAAGCCCCGGCUAACUUCGUGCCAGCAGCCGCGGUAAUCUGAUGGCGCGAGG